rnacentral:lncRNA from 1 species
CUUUUUCGUCGAGCAGAAUAUUUUAGAAAAGUUUUUUAAAAAUUAUUUUUUUAGGGAAAUAUUGGAUAUUUUUAUUGUGUUGGCUAUUUGCUGUUGAAUUCUAUUUCUGUCAAUUAAAUAGUAAUAGCGGAGUUCAAAUGUAUCAAAUACAUUCAUAAAUACUCCACUUGAAACCAAUUUCCAAGACAGUUGCAAACAGGGUUUUCAGUCACAUCAGGGCUAGUCUUAACUAUCCAUCCCGCAGUGACUCAAAUCCUACAAUUGAAUGCGGUGAAUCCCAUGUUGAUUUACGCAAAUCACCUGGCAUUUGUAGUCAACAGACUAUACCCAACAGUUAUGACUUUUAGCCCCGCGUAACCACAGUUAACAAUAAACACUGGAAAUUCUCAAAUUCAAUAUUUUGUUUUGCUAUCUUUAGUUUACUAUAUAUUCUAAUUAAUCAAUCGGAUUAUUUGCAGACUGCUUUGCACGGAAUUGAUUAAUAAUCGAUUGUUGGACUGAUUGCUGGCUAUUUGUAGGUAAAAUGGAUUGGUACUCUGGUAGUCACUUAUGGAUACUUAAGGGUACAAAUAUGUUCAUUGAACAACGGCUGUG